AACAGGAUUAGAUACCCUGGUAGUCCACGCCGUAAACGAUGCUAACUCGUUUUUGGAUUUUCGGAUUCAGAGACCAAGCGAAAGUGAUAAGUUAGCCACCUGGGGAGUACGAACGCAAGUUUGAAACUCAAAGGAAUUGACGGGGGCCCGCACAAGCGGUGGAUUAUGUGGUUUAAUUCGAUGAUACGCGAGGAACCUUACCAAGACUUAAAUGGGAAUUGACAGAUCUGGAAACAGAUCCUCCUUCGGGCAAUUUUCAAGGUGCUGCAUGGUUGUCGUCAGCUCGUGCCGUGAGGUGUUAGGUUAAGUCCUGCAACGAGCGCAACCCCUGUCACUAGUUGCUAACAUUCAGUUGAGGACUCUAGUGAGACUGCCUACGCAAGUAGAGAGGAAGGUGGGGAUGACGUCAAAUCAUCACGGCCCUUACGUCUUGGGCCACACACGUAAUACAAUGGCCGGUACAGAGGGCAGCUACACAGCGAUGUGAUGCAAAUCUCGAAAGCCGGUCUCAGUUCGGAUUGGAGUCUGCAACUCGACUCUAUGAAGCUGGAAUCGCUAGUAAUCGCGCAUCAGCCAUGGCGCGGUGAAUACGUUCCCGGGCCUUGUACACACCGCCCGUCAAGCCAUGGAAGUUUGGGGUACCUGAAGUCGGUGACCGUAAAAGGAGCUGCCUAGGGUAAAACAAGUAACUAGGGCUAAGUCGUAACAAGGUAACC
rnacentral:rRNA from 1 species